rnacentral:rRNA from 1 species
GACGAACGCUGGCGGCGUGCCUAAUACAUGCAAGUAGAACGCUGAAGGAGUAGCUUGCUCUUCUGGAUGAGUUGCGAACGGGUGAGUAACGCGUAGGUAACCUGCCUUUUAUCGGGGGAUAACUAUUGGAAACGAUAGCUAAUACCGCAUAACAGUAGAUGUUGCAUGACAUUUACUUAAAAUUUGCAAUUUCAUCACUACCAGAUGGACCUUCGUUGUAUUAGCUAGUUGGUGUGGUAACGGCUCAACAAGGCGACGAUACAUAGCCGACCUGAGAGGGUGAUCGGACAAACGGGGAAGGAGACAAGGCACAGAAUCAUACGGGAGGGAGCAGUAGGGAAUCAUCGGAAAUGGAAGGAAGUGUGACCGAGAAAAGCCGAGUGAGUGAAGAAGGUAUUCGGAUCGUAAAGCUCGGUUGUAAGAGAAGAACGAGUGUGAGAGUGGAAAGAACACAGUGUGACGGUAACUGACCAGAAAGGGACGGCUAACUACGUG